UGCUUACACAGCAAAUGUUGGGUUGAGGUAACACAGAAGCGUGAACAAGUUAAAGAAUAACCAGCCAGGGACUUCCCUGGAGGUCCAGUGGCUAAGACUCCAUGGAGGUUCCAUCCCUGGUCAGGGAGCUAGACCCCACACACCACAAUAAAAGAUUCUGUGUGCCACAGCUAAGACCCAGCACAGCCAAAUAAAUAAAUAAAAAAAAAAAAAAAGAAUAACCAGCCAAUCAAUCCUCAAGUCUGGACAGCACAGUGCCUCCAUACCAUUCUCUGUAGAGACACCCAGACAUAAGCAGCCUGUUUGAAGGGCCGAGAAGACCUAUGGUAGAAUAACUUUCUCUCCCAGGAUGGAUUUUCCACAUGUUAUCCACGUGUAUCCAGGUCUCUGGAGUGGAAUAAUCACAGCCUUUGCUUGAAGAAUUCCCUGCCUGUCAGACCCCGAAGGCUCAAGUCUGUGGACAGAAGAUGUGUGAAUACUGAGCUAAAACAGAGUAUAGGCAAGAGUUUUGUCUGUUCACCACUGGGAUUUAAGAACUUAAAGGCCAAGAACUGGCCUCAAAAGCAAAGGAGUGGUGAUCAUUUUGUAAUGUAUAAAAAUAUCGAAUCACUAUGUUUUGCACCUGUAAAAAAAGAAAAAAGACGAGGCGAAGUCAAUAUAUGCUUUAAAAAUAUAUAUAAAAUACACAGAUAUACACAC
ensembl:lncRNA